rnacentral:rRNA from 1 species
UGUAGGCGGUGGGCGGGCGGGCCUAUACAUGCAAGUCGAACGAACUUCCGUGUAAUUGAUUAUGACGUACUUGUACUGAUUGAGAUUUUAACACGAAGUGAGUGGCGAACGGGUGAGUAACACGUGGGUAACCUGCCCAGAAGUAGGGGAUAACACCUGGAAACAGAUGCUAAUACCGUAUAACAGAGAAAACCGCAUGGUUUUCUUUUAAAAGAUGGCUCUGCUAUCACUUCUGGAUGGACCCGCGGCGUAUUAGCUAGUUGGUGAGGUAAAGGCUCACCAAGGCAGUGAUACGUAGCCGACCUGAGAGGGUAAUCGGCCACAUUGGGACUGAGACACGGCCCAGACUCCUACGGGAGGCAGCAGUAGGGAAUCUUCCACAAUGGACGCAAGUCUGAUGGAGCAACGCCGCGUGAGUGAAGAAGGGUUUCGGCUCGUAAAGCUCUGUUGUUAAAGAAGAACGUGGGUAAGAGUAACUGUUUACCCAGUGACGGUAUUUAACCAGAAAGCCACGGCUAACUACGUGCCAGCAGCCGCGGUAAUACGUAGGUGGCAAGCGUUAUCCGGAUUUAUUGGGCGUAAAGCGAGCGCAGGCGGUCUUUUAAGUCUAAUGUGAAAGCCUUCGGCUCAACCGAAGAAGUGCAUUGGAAACUGGGAGACUUGAGUGCAGAAGAGGACAGUGGAACUCCAUGUGUAGCGGUGAAAUGCGUAGAUAUAUGGAAGAACACCAGUGGCGGAAGGCGGCUGUCUGGUCUGCAACUGACGCUGAGGCUCGAAAGCAUGGGGUAGCGAACAGGAUUAGAUACCCUGGUAGUCCAUGCCGGAAACGAUGAUUACUAAAGUGUUGGGAGGGUUUCCGCCCUUCACUGCUGCAGCUAACGCAUUAAGUAAUCCGGCCUGGGGGAGUACGACCGCAAGGUUGAAGCUCAAAAGAAUUGACGGGGGCCGGCACGAGCGAUGGAGCAUGUGGUUUUAUUUCGAAGGCUACGCGAGAAGCUUUACCAGGUCUUGACAUCUGUCUGGACAGUCUGAGGAGAUUAGAAGGUUCCCUUCGGGUACGAAUGACAGGUGGUGCAUGGAUGUGGUCGUCGACCUCGUGUCCGUGAAAUUGUUGGAGUGUAGGUCCCGGCAACGAUCGCCAACGCGUUGAUUACUAAGUUGCCAACAUAAAGUGGCACUCUAAGUGAAAACUGGCGGGUGACAGACCCGGAGGAGUGGGGACCGACGUCGGAUUCAGCUCAGUGUU